rnacentral:rRNA from 1 species
CCUACGGGUGGCAGCAGUGAGGAAUAUUGGUCAAUGGACGCAAGUCUGAACCAGCCAUGCCGCGUGCAGGAAGACGGCCCUAUGAGUUGUAAACUGCUUUUGUACGGGGGUAAACGCAGAUACGCGUAUCUGGCUUAAAGUAUCCUACGAAAAAGCAGCGGGUAACUUCGGGCCAGCACCCGCGGUAAAUGGGGGGAGGCGAGCGUUAUCCGGAGUUAUUGGGUUUAAAGGGUGCGUAGGCGGUCCGUUAAGUCAGCGGUAAAAUUGCGGGGCGCAACCCCGUCGAGCCGUUGAAACUGGCAGACUUGAGUGGGCGAGAAGUACGCGGAAUGCGCGGUGUAGCGGUGAAAUGCAUAGAUAUCGCGAAGAACUCCGAUUGCGAAGGCAGCGUACCGGCGCCAGACUGACGCUGAGGCACGAAAGCGUGGGGAUCGAACAGGAUUAGAUACCCCAGUAGUC